UUUCCGACCAGCCCCGGGACUAGGUUGAUCAUGGACGCCCUGGUUACAGGUAGAGACUCGCCUUUGUACUCUAGUGGGUUGAAGCCCGUGACGAUCCCUAAUUGGGCUCACUCGGGUGCGUAGUUUCUGCCAGUGGGAAGGUUUUCGAACCAUCCCUU
rnacentral:snRNA from 13 species